GGAAAAAUACAAAAAGCUUCACAAAGCAAAUGGCAUCCAAAGUGAGUCUCAAAGAAUAUGUAUCAGCUUUGCAGGUGAAGAAAUUGAAAAGUAUGUGCCAAACAGAGUGGACCACACACAUCCGAAAGCAAAGAAUCAGGACAAGCCCUGCUGAAUUGUGACGUACAUGUGUGAGACUGAAGAGAUAAGAUGCAACAAAAUGCUUGAUGACAAAUCAACAAGUAAGAGAUGUCCAAAAACGUAUUCAUGCAAAUGAUCACAACUUGCCAGACACUUUACUGGGCCAAUGAGAAAUACAAGAACAAAAUGACCAGGAUUCCUGCUCAGCUGGAUGAGUGAAGGAAGUUUUUUUCUAUCAGGAGGAGAGCUCAUGUGGCAGCCUGGAGGAUAAAUUGGGAGAAGGGUACCACAUCCUAGGCCCUGUGUUUGUAGCCAUACCAAGAAGGAAAAGACACUGUCAUUGCCUUUCUAGGUACUUACAGCGUAGUAGAAGAAGCAGGUAAAAUCAGAGGACAAAAAAAAAUUGUGUAUAACAAGUGUUAUG